GAUGAAGAACGUAGCGAAAUGCGAUACUUGGUGUGAAUUGCAGAAUCCCGUGAACCAUCGAGUCUUUGAACGCAAGUUGCGACCGAAGCCAUUAGGCCGAGGGCACGCCUGCCUGGGCGUCACACGUCGUUGCCCCCCCAUCUACUCCUUCGGGAUUGCGGGGGGCGGAUGAUGGCCUCCCGUGCGCCUCGCCGCGCGGUUGGCAUAAAUGCCAAGUCCUCGGCGACGCACGCCACGACAAUCGGUGGUUGCGAAACCUCGGUUGCCCGUCGUGUGCGGUCGUCGCGCAUCGAGGGCUCGAAAAAAUUGCCGGGUUCCGGCUCGGCUUUCAACGCGACCCCAGGUCAGGCGGGGUUACCCGCUGAAUUUAAGCAUAUCAAUAAGCGGAGGA
rnacentral:misc_RNA from 1 species